GAGUUUGAUCAUGGCUCAGAACGAACGCUGGCGGCAGGCCUAACACAUGCAAGUCGAACGCUGUAGCAAUACAGAGUGGCAGACGGGUGAGUAACGCGUGGGAACCUUCCCAGUGGUGCGGAAUAGCUCAGGGAAACUUGAGGUAAUACCGCAUAAGCCCCUAGGGGGAAAGAUUUAUCGCCAUUGGAUGGGCCCGCGUCGGAUUAGCUAGUUGGUGAGGUAAUGGCUCACCAAGGCAACGAUCCGUAGCUGGUUUGAGAGAAUGACCAGCCACACUGGGACUGAGACACGGCCCAGACUCCUACGGGAGGCAGCAGUGGGGAAUCUUGGACAAUGGGCGCAAGCCUGAUCCAGCCAUGCCGCGUGAGUGACGAAGGCCUUAGGGUUGUAAAGCUCUUUUGCCGGGGACGAUAAUGACGGUACCCGGAGAAUAAGUCCCGGCUAACUUCGUGCCAGCAGCCGCGGUAAUACGAAGGGGACUAGCGUUGUUCGGAAUUACUGGGCGUAAAGCGCACGUAGGCGGAUUUGUUAGUCAGGGGUGAAAUCCCGGGGCUCAACCUCGGAACUGCCUUUGAUACUGCAAAUCUCGAGUCCGAUAGAGGUGGGUGGAAUUCCUAGUGUAGAGGUGAAAUUCGUAGAUAUUAGGAAGAACACCGGUGGCGAAGGCGGCCCACUGGAUCGGUACUGACGCUGAGGUGCGAAAGCGUGGG
rnacentral:rRNA from 1 species